UAGUCUCGCACAGAUGCAUAUCAAUAAGCGGAGGAAAAGAAACUAACAAGGAUUCCCCUAGUAACGGCGAGUGAAGCGGGAAGAGCUCAAAUUUGAAAUCUUAAAGGGUUUCCCUUUACGAAUUGUAGUUUAAAGAAGUGUUUUCUGUUGAGGUUUUGGUAAAAGUUCUUUGGAAUAGGACAUCAUAGAGGGUGAGAAUCCCGUAUUUGACCUUUACUUUCAACUUUGUGAUACACUUUCAAAGAGUCGGAUUGUUUGGGAAUGCAGUCCAAAAUGGGUGGUAAAUUUCAUCUAAAGCUAAAUAUUGGCGAGAGACCGAUAGCGAACAAGUACCGUGAGGGAAAGAUGAAAAGAACUUUGAAAAGAGAGUUAAACAGUACGUGAAAUUGUCAAAAGGGAAGCGUUUGACACCAGUGUUGUUUUUCUGAAAAUCAAUUAAAGAACUGUUUAUGCUAAGCUGUUUAGACUUUAUCAGCUAAUCUGUUUAGUUUUGAGCUUUUCUUUAAUGCACUUUUCAGUUAACAAGUCAACAUCAAUUUCUUUUGCUGUAAAAAAGCUUGAGGAAGGUGGCUUGAGAUUCGUCUUAAGUGUUUAUAGCCUCUUGCCUAUGCAGUCGGAGAGAUUGAGGUCUGCAGCGUAGAUCCUUCGGGGCUAAAUGCAUUUGUGCUAAGUUAUAGCAUUUUAUAGACAACUUGUUGACUAUGAUUUGUCUUGUAGCUUACUCGCUUAUGUUAUUUUACCUACGCUUAGGAUGUUGAUCUGUAGUGCGUGCGC
rnacentral:rRNA from 1 species